UACGGGGGGGGCAAGCGUUGUCCGGAUUUAUUGGGCGUAAAGAGCGUGUAGGCGGCUAGGUAGGUCCGUUGUGAAAACUCGAGGCUCAACCUCGAGACGUCGAUGGAAACCAUCUAGCUAGAGUCCGGAAGAGGAGAGUGGAAUUCCCGGUGUAGCGGUGAAAUGCGCAGAUAUCAGGAGGAACACCGGUGGCGAAGGCGGUUCUCUGGGCAUUACCUGACGCUGAGGAGCGAAAGUGUGGGGAGCGAACAGG
rnacentral:rRNA from 1 species